GACGAACGCUGGCGGCGUGCCUAAUACAUGCAAGUCGAACGCAGUGGGGACGGGUGAGUAACACGUGGGUAACCUCCCAUCAGAGGGGAUAACACUUGGCAACAGGUGCUAAACCGAUACUGAUGGAUGGACCCGCGGUGCAUUAGCUAGUUGGUGGGGUAACGGCUCACCAGGGCCACGAUGCAUAGCCGACCUGAGAGGGGGAUCGGCCACACUGGGACUGAGACACGGCCCAGACUCCUACGGGAGGCAGCAGUAGGGAAUCUUCGGCAAUGGACGAAAGUCUGACCGAGCAACGCCGCGUGAGUGAAGAAGGUCUUCGGAUCGUAAAGCUCUGUUGUUAGGGAAGCGGUACCUAAUCAGAAAGCCACGGCUAACUACGUGCCAGCAGCCGCGGUAAUAC
rnacentral:rRNA from 1 species